GUGAUUUACAGUUUAUUUUCCAUACUUGAGAAAAUUUGUUGCAAAGAAGAUUAACAUGGCUCCUGAACAAGGAUGACACGUACAAAUCAAGAAAUGGUCCAAAUAGAA